CAGUAGCCACGGUAAUACAGAGGGUGCGAGCGUUAAUCGGAUUUACUGGGCGUAAAGCGUGCGUAGGCGGCUUCUUAAGUCGGAUGUGAAAUCCCUGAGCUUAACUUAGGAAUUGCAUUCGAUACUGGGAAGCUAGAGUAUGGGAGAGGAUGGUAGAAUUCCUGGUGUAGCGGUGAAAUGCGUAGAGAUCUGGAGGAAUACCGAUGGCGAAGGCAGCCAUCUGGCCUAAUACUGACGCUGAGGUACGAAAGCAUGGGGAGCAAACAGGAUUAGAUACCCCGGUAGUCCCUGUCUCUUAUAA
rnacentral:rRNA from 1 species